GUAGGGAAUCUUGCGCAAUGGGCGAAAGCCUGACGCAGCCAUGCCGCGUGAAUGAUGAAGGUCUUAGGAUUGUAAAAUUCUUUCACCGGGGACGAUAAUGACGGUACCCGGAGAAGAAGCCCCGGCUAACUUCGUGCCAGCAGCCGCGGUAAUACGAAGGGGGCUAGCGUUGCUCGGAAUUACUGGGCGUAAAGGGCGCGUAGGCGGACAGUUUAGUCAGAGGUGAAAGCCCAGGGCUCAACCUUGGAAUUGCCUUUGAUACUGGCUGUCUUGAGUUCGGGAGAGGUGAGUGGAAUGCCGAGUGUAGAGGUGAAAUUCGUAGAUAUUCGGCGGAACACCAGUGGCGAAGGCGACUCACUGGCCCGAUACUGACGCUGAGGCGCGAAAGCGUGGGGAGCAAACAGGAUUAGAUACCCGGGUAGUCC
rnacentral:rRNA from 1 species